AUUGGCGUUCUUUUUAAGAUAAAUAUCUUCAUUCAAUAUAAAAUCUUCGUAUUCUUUUUUUUACAAAUAACAUUUGUAAAGAUACUAAUCAAUAAUCUGAAAGCAUUGUCAAGGAAUUUAGUCAAACGAUGUCACAUGUCCGUAACGGAAAAAUAUCUUACGUUUUUAUUAGUUUUAUAAAACGUAAAACGGUGGCUAAGAAUUAUUUUGUUAAAAUAGUAUUAAAUAAUAAGGUUGAAAACCGUUAUUGUUGUUAAUCCUUCCAUUAAUUUAGUUUUAAGGGUAAUUAAAUAUCAUUUGCGUUGUAUAAAAUUGGAAUAACUUGGUACAUGAUUUAUUAAUUAUUUUUUUAAUUACGUUGGAUACUUGAAUGUCAAUGAGAUUGAUGGCUAAUAUCCUUGUUAGCUGAGCCUUAAAGGGUUAAAUUAACAUUCUAUUAGAAAUACUAGUAAUGGCAAAUAAUUACAUUUAAAUAAAUGUUAAGAAUAAAUUUGAGUAUGUUUGAAACUUAAGUCACUAGGCACGAUAUUUUUAUUUAAGUUUUUACGACUUUUAUAUUAGUUUAUAGAUUACAGUCAUUUUAAGUUUUAUAAAAAAUAAUAUGUUAAUUGUGUUUAAUUUGUAAAAAUCUGAAACGAAACAUAAUUUAUGGGUAAACCGCUGAGUUCUGAGAAUGAGUUCUCACCCCAUGAAUGAACAAAAUUAUUAAUAAAAUAAUUAAUUUUGCUUUCAAAAUUUGGAAUAAACAGGGAUAAAGUAAUAAAAAACACAUAAUUAUUUCAUUUUAAUAAUAUAAUGUAAAUGCAUUAAAACGUCGAGAUAUAGAGUUUUUAAACUCUCUUUAGAAUUUUGAAAAUUUCAGUGUGUUAUAUAUAGAUAUUGUGUGUUAUAUAUCUAGGAUAUAUAUAGAUAUUGUCAGAAAUUUUAAUAAAAAAUAUUUAAAAAAAUAGACUUGAUUUCGGCUUCAUUAAUAUUGUACGGGUAGCUCUAGCCACAAGCCCACAACACGUCACAUAUGUAAUAAAAACUAUGUGCAUUGAAAUUAAGAAAUGUCUCAUGAAAUCGAUCUUG
rnacentral:misc_RNA from 1 species